CCGAGGGCGUCCCCGAAGCCCCGCGAUGCCUCGCCGGGGUGGCUCAUCUAGGGAGGACCCCGAAAGACCACCCUUCUGGCGCACACCCUGGCCCACCUGCUCGCCCGCACAUCCACUAGUUACCUUCUAUCCCUGGGAGGGGAGAAAACGGCCCCUUAGCCUGAAACCCACAGGUCUAAGUCAUGAAGGACGGACGCCCACCUUCCUGGCUGAAUUCCUUCCCCCGCCUAUAAGGAGGCUCGCUCUGAAGCCGAGGGCAGACACACACUAUAAACCAUACUCCAUGAGGGCAGAAACCACAUCUGUCUGUCUAGGUCCAAGCUGUAUUUCCAGUCCCACAGGAGGAGUUCAACACAAGUUUGUUGAAUGAAUGAAUGAAAGAACACAGGUUUCCUGCCUCCGGGGCUCCAGCUCUCUGAGUAAAAGCACAGCUUUCUCCCUUCAUCUCCUACCAGGUAUUUGCAAAUAACUAAAUGGCAAAUUCUCUGGCAGCUGCAAACAUUUCCAAACCUAUUGGAUCUUGUCCUACCUAGGAACCUGGAUGGAGGUUAAGGAAAUGUGAAAGUGAGAUGGGGGAGCCUCCUGUGAAUGAGCAGGAGGAACUUCUUGGCCACUGGCACAAACAUCCAAAAUUGGGUUCCAGUCCGUGUAGGAAGAAGGGGAUCCCCCCAGAGGACCUGUGGCUUGUCCCCACCAUCUGAGAGCAUGAAGAGCCAACCUUUCUCUGGGGAAGAACUUGGCCCCUUGGUGAAAUUCCCAGCGGGAAUCCUUGUGCCUGAGAAAAGACUUCUUAAUGAGCUCCUUUCACUUGCAGGGGAGGGGGAGGGGGCCCUCUUUUGCCCUCCACAGGGACAUUUUAAAGUGAAUGAAGGGAGCAAGGUCCCUCAUUAAGGCUGAAAUGGGAGCUGCUGGGGGCGGGGGUUCUCUAGAAAGGAGGCCUGGCCCCAGGUCUGCAUUUCCUGCGACAAAGUUAUCGCAUUAACAAUAAUCACCACUCCUUCCUUCAUCCUAGAAAUGGACUGUGAAGGAAAACAUUGGAAAGACCUUUUUACCUAUUGUUUUCGUUAACUGACAAGUUCUUAAUAAAACUGAAAAACUGUAAAGACCUAAAUAGGCAACCAUGGGGAUUAGUUAUGGGCAUUAUAUUCUGGCUCAGUAGAAUAGUAUGCAGGCUCUUAUGAUCAUGUUUGCAUAGCGUUUAUAGUUGAAGCCAAGACUGGAGUUGUCUGAGAUUUUGAGGUUUCUUUUAGAGGACUUGGGAUUACCCUCAAGGUUGAGGAGUGCUGGGUUGGAAGGAGAGUGAGUUGCUCUUAAGUGCCUCAUCCAGGGAAAUGAACCUGCCACCAGUCCCCUAUUCAGGGUGAAAUGCUAAUUUCUGGUUGUUCUCUGAGAGAUCAGUCAUGGUCCCUACCUAGGAAAGUUGGCCAUUCUCUUGCUAUUUAGAACCCAAAUAGUCUGAACAUAACAUUCCUUGACACUUCCAGGAAUUUCUCAAAAAGAAAUAAUCAGAUGUGGGGAAAAAUGUGUACAGGGAUGCUUAUUGCUAUAUUCUUUCUAUAAGAUUGAAAAACUGGAAUAAUAAUAGCAAGCAUUUAUUGAGCACUUAACAUGCACCAGUUGCUGGACUAAGUGUUUUACGAGCAUUGUCUAAUAUCGUCCUUUCAAGUAGGUUCUAUUAUUGUCUCAAUUUUUACAAAUGAAAAAAGAAAUGGAGGCACAAAAAGCUUAGUAAUUUGCCCAAGACAACAUUAUUAGUAAGUGAGGGAGACAGAUGGUCAAAUGACAGCAAUAACACAAUGUGAUAAACAUUAAAAUAGAAAUAAUAUGAGCAACAAUAGGUAGAUGGUUCAAAGUAUUAUCAUUAUACAUGCUGUCUAUUCGGGUCUUCAAAUAAAGCCUGGCACACGGUGAGCAUCUAAAAAUUGUUGUUAUUAUUUAUACUUCAAACUUGAAUGUGCCCAGGAAUCACC